rnacentral:rRNA from 1 species
AUACGGAGGAUCCGAGCGUUAUCCGGAUUUAUUGGGUUUAAAGGGUGCGCAGGCGGCCAUUUAAGUCAGCGGUUAAAUCGUGGGGCUCAACCCCAUUCUGCCGUUGAUACUGGGUGGCUUGAUUGCGGUCGAGGUUGGCGGAAUUCGUUGUGUAGCGGUGAAAUGCAUAGAUAUGACGAAGAACACCGAUUGCGUAGGCAGCUGACCAGACCGCAAAUGACGCUCAUGCACGAAAGUGCGGGGAUCGAACAGGAUUAGAUACCCUGGUAGUCCGCACAGUAAACGAUGAAUACUUGCUUUCGGCGAUAUAAUGUCGGAGGCAAAGCGAAAGCGAUAAGUAUUCCACCUGGGGAGUACGCCGGCAACGGUGAAACUCAAAUGAAUUGACGGGG